CCUACGGGCGGCAGCAGUGGGGAAUAUUGCACAAUGGGGGAAACCCUGAUGCAGCAACGCCGCGUGAAGGAAGACUGUUUUCGGAUUGUAAACUUCUGUUCUUAGUGAAGAAUAAUGACGGUAGCUCAGGAGCAAGCCACUGCUAACUACGGUCCAGCAGACUCGGUAAUACGUAGGUGGCACGCGUUUACCGGAAUUACUGGGUUUAAAGGGAGCGCAGGCGGGAAGACAAGUCAGCUGUGAAAACUACGGGCUUAACUUGUAGACUGCGGUUGAAACUGGUUGUCUUGAGUGAAGUAGAGGUUGGCGGAAUUCCGGGUGUAGCGGUGAAAUGCGUAGAUAUUCGGAGGAACACCGGUGGCGAAGGCGGCCAACUGGGCUUUAACUGACGCUGAGGCUCGAAAGUGUGGGGAGCAAACAGGAUUAGAUACCCUUGUAGUC
rnacentral:rRNA from 1 species